ensembl:lncRNA
AAUUGACCAAGUCCUGGACUCUUGCUGCUGAGAUGAACAUUCUUCACUCCUGAUAAACAGGAUAUCGGACUCCCCUCAGAGAUGAUGCCUGCUCACCUGACUCCAUCCCAGAUCACAGCAACCCUUUCUGGUACAGAUGGAAUCAGAAUACAUUUCACCCGAGUCCUGUUUCAAGUGCCAGUACUACCUUUACUGGGUUAGUGAAGCCAGAUCAAGCCUGAGACACCCCAAGGAGCUAAAGAUAUGGCCCUGGUGGUUGUGAGCAGUCCAAGUCCUCAGGCAGCAGCUCUCAACCCUGGCAGGUGGUACAGAGACCAUGCGGGAACUUGAAGAGGAGAUUGGAGUGCUUCAAAAGGCGUUCUAUCUGGGGGAGAAAUGGGUUCCCUGAAGAACUGAUGCUUUCAAACUGUGGUGCUGGAGAAGACUCUUGAGAGUCCCUUGGACUGCAGGGAGAGCAACCCAGUCAAUCCUAUAGGAAACCAACCCUGAAUAUUCAUUGGAAGGACUGAUGCUGAAGCUCCAAGACUUUGGCCACCUGAUAUGAAGAGCCGACUCACUGAAAAAGAUCUGAUGCUAGGAAAGAUUGAGGGCAAGAGGAGAAGGGGACGACAAAGGAUGAGAUGGUUGGAUGGCCUCGUCGCCUCAACGGACAUGAGUUUGAGCAAACUCCAGGAGAUGGUGAAGGACAGGGAAGCCUGGCAUGCUGCAGUCCAUUGAGUUGCAAAGAGUCAGACAUGACUGGGUGACUGAACGAUAGCAACGACGACAAAGGGGGGAACUGAGCGCAUGGCAGGGAACACAUUUGGGGGUGGCUGGGGUGUGGGCUCUGGGCUGGUUGGUUUGUAUUUGAGAGGCACAUUUGUGGGUUUGUGGUUGGAACCUCUAGGAACUGGCUAGUCCACGGAAGGGUCAGAGAGGCCCCAGAUGUCAAAGCUAAAACACAGACCUGAUUAAUGUAAGACUUGGUUAAUCCAGGAUGGUUCGCAGAGAAAUGGGCAGUGGGGAGUGGUGUUGGCUCUGAGCUUCAGAUCCAUUUUAAAGUCUCUCUCCUAAAAGCACUGUCUGGUCUAUAAAUUAUGCGCUGGGGUGUCACUGCCUCUUGUCCUCCAAGCUCAGCCAGUCUCUCCGAUGCCAGAUUAGGGGUAUCCCCUUCCUUUUCCUCUAUAGGUGAGGAAGGGGGUCCCUUGCUCAGGGUUCAUGGACUGAGACCAGCUGUUGCCAUGCGAGGUCAUAGACCCCUUACAAGCCCUCAGGGGACAAGUGUAACAGUGUGGGGUGUGCUGGGGCAGGGGGGUGACCAGAGCCACAUGGAAGGUACCUCCUGACGGGACACCAAGGAAUCUCUUCGUGUGAUUCACUGCACCAGAGCCUUCCUUCCAGCUGCCAAAGCCUGCGGAGCCCGCCUGUGACAGCCUGCCUGGGGGGCUGGAGUGUCCCGAAGACGACAAAUCAAAGCUGGCUCAGCCCGAAGCCUGCAUGCCUUUUGGGAGGGCUGGCAGGUGCCGUGCCCAGGUGGGGUUUCUUAUGUAACGUGACACAUGCAUGAGCCGGCCGUGGGUGCACCCGGGGCCGGCAGGGUGACUCAGGCCCCGCCAUCACUGCUUCCCAGAAACGUGGCACUCGGGUGUCAGCUGAGCAAGUGUCUGUGUGUCACUGUGAUUGUUAGAAAGCAAAGGAGGGUCCCAUGAUGCAGCGGGAGCGGGGGUGGGGGCGGACUGUGGAGACUGCAGGGUAUCAAGGCCAAAGGAGGUGGGUGGUGUGGGAUGGGGAGGCAAGAUCUGGAAACUUCCCUUUCCAUUUGGACCAGACUGGGAGGUAAGGAGGGCUGCCAGUGGCACAUCGUCCUCCUACCCUGGGUGGGCGGACGCCUGGCUGAUUCUUAGCAGUGGAAUCCCAUGCGGUGAAUAAUCCUGUGUCACUCAUUACAGAAAUCAAGUCUCUGUGAUGAGAUCUUCCUCUUUCUGGUUGCAAGGCAAUGGAGUGUUUCUUUAUCCCUGCCACUGAGCAGGGAGCAGGGCUCGUCCUCCACAAGUGACCUGGCAGUGCCCUGGGGGUUCGGCUUCUAGGGGUCUUCUCCUGGACCGCCCACAUCCCCAGUGCUGGCCCCGUGUCCCUGGCCCGAAGGUGGAGGGUAAGGUUAAGGGAGGCAGGGGUACAGUUAUGGGACAGGAGGCCUCGAAUCAGAGCAGGAGGGGCCUGCUGGAGCCUCCCGUGCCCGCGCAGGGGGAGGGCUUGGUCUGUGGAAGGAGGACCGGGGAGUCUGGGCUGGGCGCCCCGGGGAGGGAGCAUCAGCAUGACAUGGGUCCAGUGUCCAGCUGGCCUCUGUCCAUGCUCCAGGCCCCAUGGGCAGGUUGGAGGGGAGAAUGGGCAGUGGCCCUUCGUGUCCUCAUCCCAUUGAGUGUCUGUCUCUGAAACCGGGGCGAGGAGGAGGAAGCCAAGGACAAGCUGGGAAGAACAGGCCUUUCCACAAUGAAGACUGAUCUCUUCUGAACUGAAUACAAAACAAAGUCUCUCCUGUAGCUCUCAAGUGCUCUGUGUGUUCUCUCUAAGCCACACCAUCUAGACAACCUGGACCCAUAGGUGUGAUGGGAACCGCGUUGUUCCAGGCCACACGUGUGCAGACCAGUGUCCCACACUGUAUAGCGUCAUCAGGCACAGACUCUGAGAACGGAAAGGAACCUUCGAGCUUGUUGACGGGGAAAUGGGUUCGAUCCCUGAUCUGGGAAGAUUCCACAUGCCGCGGAGCAACUGAACCUGUGUGCCACAACUAUUGAACUUGUCCUCUGGAUCCUGGGAACUGCAACUACUGAGCCCAUGCACCACAGCUACUGAAGCCCGUGCACCCGAGAGCCUGUGCUCUGCAACAAGAGGAGCCACUGCAAUGAGAAGCCUGUGUGCCACAACUGGAGAGGAGCCCCUGCUCACUGCAACUAAAGAAAGCCCUCACAAAGCACCGAAGACCCAGCACAACCCAAAAUAAAUGAAUAAAUAAAAUUAUAUAGAAAAGAAUGAGUGGGUCUAUGGGGAUACUAUAGCAGAGGCUGUCCCAUUAAACUGGGGACCAGUAGCCCAUGUUGUAAUACACAUCACAGUGGCCAAGCCACAGCAUCCUUGCCUGCAGCUCCCCUCUCAUCACCUCCAACCUCUGCCUCCACAUCAUUGUAAGGAAGGAAGAAAAGGGAGGUGGGGGGGAAUCUUGCUGCUAGGUUUGCAGAGGAUGCUGCUGAUUUCUGAACCAGAACGGACUUUGAAAAGUCCUCCUGAGUCUAAAAAGAUGAAGACUCAUUGCUUCAACCCUUGCAGUAAACAUCCUGGGUAACCUUCACCUCAAACCUCAGAGGUUUCGAGAUGGCACAGAACAUGCUGUGCCGUGUUUAUUUCCCAUCACUUGGUGGAGAAACUCUGCACGGGAAGGAGGAGGCAGAAAUGAAGCCCUGGAGGUACUGCAGGGUGGGUUCCAGACCUCCGCAAUAAUGUGAAUCUCGCAAUAAAGUGAGUCACGUGGAUUUUUUUUUUUUUGGUUUCGCAGUGUAUAUAAAAGUGUAAUACACUCUACUGUAACCUGUUAAGCAUGCAAUAACAUUAUGUCUAAAAAAAAGUACAUCCCUUCACUGAAAAAUACUUUCUUGCUAAAAAAUGCUAACCAUCAUGUGAGCCUUCAGUGGGUCAUCACUUUUUUGCAAUAGUCCUGUCAAAGAUCACCAUCACAACUGUAAUACUAAUGAAAAAUGUGAAAUACUUGUGGAGAAUGGCCAAAAUGUGAAACAGACACAAGUGAGCAAAUGCUAUUGGAAAAGUGGCACCCCUAGACGUGUCCGAACCCAGGUUGCUGCAAACCUUCAAUGUGU